rnacentral:rRNA from 1 species
AUUGAACGCUGGCGGCAUGCCUUACACAUGCAAGUCGAACGGUAACAGGUUAAGCUGACGAGUGGCGAACGGGUGAGUAAUGUAUCGGAACGUGCCCAGUCGCGGGGGAUAACUGCUCGAAAGAGCAGCUAAUACCGCAUACGACCUGAGGGAGAAAGCGGGGGAUCGCAAGACCUCGCGCGAUUGGAGCGGCCGAUAUCAGAUUAGGUAGUUGGUGAGGUAAAGGCUCACCAAGCCGACGAUCUGUAGCUGGUCUGAGAGGACGACCAGCCACACUGGGACUGAGACACGGCCCAGACUCCUACGGGAGGCAGCAGUGGGGAAUUUUGGACAAUGGGCGCAAGCCUGAUCCAGCCAUGCCGCGUGCGGGAAGAAGGCCUUCGGGUUGUAAACCGCUUUUGUCAGGGAAGAAAAGGUUCUGGCUAAUACCUGGGACUCAUGACGGUACCUGAAGAAUAAGCACCGGCUAACUACGUG